GCGUAUAGGGCUCGCAGGCGGUUUCUUAAGUCUGAUGUGAAAGCCCCCGGCUCUUCCGGGGAGGGUCAUUGGAAACUGGGAAACUUGAGUGCACAAUAAGAGAGUGGAAUUCCACGUGUAGCGGUGAAAUGCGUAUAGAUGUGGAGGAACACCAGUGGCGAAAGCGACUCUCUGGUCUGUAACUGACGCUGAGGAGCGAAAGCGUGGGGAGCGAACAGGAUUAGAUACCCUGGUAGUCCACCCCGUAAACGAUGAGUGCUAAGUGUUAGGGGGUUUCCGCCCCUUAUUGCUGCAGCUAACGCAUUAUUCACUCCGCCUGGGGAGGACGGUCGCAAGACUGAAACUCACAGGAAUUGACGGGGGCCCGCCCACGCGGUGGAUCAUGUGUUUU
rnacentral:rRNA from 1 species